rnacentral:rRNA from 1 species
UUCCAGCUCCAAUAGCGUAUAUUAAUGUUGUUGCAGUUAAAAAGCUCGUAGUUGGAUCUCUAACGCACGCGGCCGGUCCGCCCCUCACGGGGUGUGCACUGCGCCGUCGUGCGUUAUCCUGGGGGAGAGCGUCCCGCGCAUUAGGUUGUGUGGGUCGGGAUCCUCCACGAAUACUCAAAAUAAAUAAGAGUGUUCAAAGCAGGCGAUUGCUGUGAAUUCUUCAGUUGGGAAUAAUAAGAUAGGACUCGGGGACUAUUUUGUUGGUUUGCAUCUCCGAGUAAUGAUUAAUAGGGACAGUUGGAGAUAUUCAUAUUCAGUUGUCAGAGGUGAAAUUCUUGGAUUUACGGAAGAUGAACUACUGCGAAAGCAUUUUUAUCGAGGAUGUUUUCAUUA